GUUUCCUAUAACUUGAAGUAGAAACAGGUAAAUGGAAAAUUGUGCCCAGCGAGCGAAGGGAGGGGCCAAAGAGGCAGGAGCUUCUGCCAAAGCUUUCCCUCCCCAAAACAUUAGACAUGUAACCUGCCGCAGUCAGUCCACUGUCUAGUUUCCAUUUCCUCCUCCAUCUAUGAGUUAUUUACCCGUAACUACCUUCACAACCACUCAAAUCCAUUGACGCAUUCAGAGGCACAUGUUUUUGUUUGUUUCUGCUUCCGAUCAGCCUGACCCGGCCUCUAGAACUAGAGGACGGAAUCAUGGCUUGGACGUAGUGUGAUAGAAUGCUUUUGGGCUUUUCCUACUGGUUAUUGAAAGAUUUUUUCCAGCGUACAGGCUGGUUAAAAUGGUGACGACAUCAUUGCCGUUCAACGUCCACUGAAAGCGAGUAUAACUUGACUCCGAACCUUGUCUAUUUUGGCUUACCUCUCACCUCUCCACUGCUCCUCCCAUGCCAAUCAUAUGCAAACUGUAGGCUAAAACUAUGUACCUACCAAGGAACCUGACCUCAAGUAUAGAUUAGAGAAGAGGAACACUUUAUUUUGGUUGUACAAGAUGGAAUUGUGCUAAUUUUAAACGCUC
rnacentral:lncRNA from 1 species